AUGGUAUAAACCUCUCUUGAAUGAAUCUCAACAAUCUUAUUAUUAUCCCCUAACCCAAUAGAUGUAAUCAAUUCCAAUGAAUCUUCCAGUCCAUUUUCUUCAUAAACACCUAAAAUCCUCUCAUCAUCUUGUAGUGUACCUAACUUGCAUAAUUGUCCUUUAAUAUCAUAUAAUCUUUUUCUUUCUUUUCUUUUAAAAUCAUCAACUUUCUUAUACAUAAUAUUUCCAUUUUCCAAUAUACCAAUAAAACUCGCAUCAAAGGCACCUUGAUCUCGCGAGAGUACCUCCUCUUUUGUACCUCCAUAAUCUCGCUUUACAGUGGUACCUCCCCAAAAUCCUUAAAUCCUUCAACAAU
rnacentral:lncRNA from 1 species